rnacentral:rRNA from 1 species
UACGUAGGGUGCGAGCGUUAUCCGGAAUUAUUGGGCGUAAAGCGCACGCAGGUGGCGGCUUAAGGCUGACGUGAAAGCGCCUGGCUUAACUGGGCGAGGUCGUUGGCAACUGGGUCGCUUGAGGCGAGGAGAGGGGCGUAGAAUUCCCGGUGUAGUGGUGGAAUGCGUAGAUAUCGGGAGGAACACCAGUGGCGAAAGCGGCGCUCUGGGCCUAAACUGACGCUGAGGGGCGAAAGCGUGGGGAGCGAACGGG